AUGGGGUGCAGCAGGGGCGAAAACUUUACAAUGCACGAAAGUGUGAUAAGGGAACCCCGAGUGUUGGUGCCUAGCAUCAACUGUCCAACUGUCUAAAAAACAGUUAUUAGCAAGAGCCGGGUAAGACCGGUGCCAGCCGCCGCGGUAACACCGGCGGCUCGAGUGGUGACCGCUAUUAUUGGGUCUAAAAGGUUCGUAGCCGGCUUAAUAAGUUCUUUGGGAAAUCUGGCGGCUUAACCGUCAGGCUGCCGAAGGAUACUGUUAGGCUUGAGACCGGGAGGGGCUAGAGGUACUUCAGGGGUAGGGGUGAAAUCCUGUGAUCCCUGUGAGACCACCAGUGGCGAAGGCGUCUAGCUAGAACGGAUCUGACGGUGAUGAACGAAAGCUAGGGGCACGAACCGGAUUAGAUACCCGGGUAGUCCUAGCCGUAAACGAUGCGAGCUAGGUGUCACGGUAGCUGCGAGCUACUGUGGUGCCGUAGGGUAGCCAUGAAGCUCGCCACCUGGGAAGUACGGCCGCAAGGCUGAAACUUAAAGGAAUUGGCGGGGGAGCAC
rnacentral:rRNA from 1 species